GUGCCAGCAGCCGCGGUAAGACGGAGGGUGCAAGCGUUGUUCGGAUUGACUGGGCGUAAAGGGCGUGUAGGCGGUUUGUCAAGUCGGGUGUGAAAGCCUGGGGCUCAGCCCCAGAAGUGCAUCCGAAACUAGCGAGCUAGAGCGCGAUAGAGGAGGGUGGAAUUCCUGGUGUAGCGGUGAAAUGCGUAGAUAUCAGGAGGAACACCGGCGGCGAAGGCGGCCCUCUGGAUCGUUGCUGACGCUGAGACGCGAAAGCGUGGGGAGCAAACAGGAUUAGAUACCCUGGUAGUCC
rnacentral:rRNA from 1 species